rnacentral:misc_RNA from 1 species
CACAAAUAAGACUACCCCUAAUCACAAUUAACUCAUUUUAUUUGUUAGAAAGCCAUAUUGUUCUAUUUAAGCCAAUUCGCAUUUGCAAAUUCAAAGGUCCUUUCUCAAUGAUAUCACCAUAUAAUGAGAGUCCAACCUAGAGAGUCGACCAAAGACAAUCCCACAGAAUUUCACAUGAACUGCCAACACUACUACAUUGUUUUCAUCUAUGGGACUCAUACUCCAGAAAACCAGGAGGACAAUUGAAUGUCUAAAAGGUUUGCCUUUUUACCAAUGAAGUUCAUCAAGUUUUACCAUCUCCAAAGACCUGACCUGAGUCACCCAGACGAAAUAAACAGUGAUAACAAAUUGUGAUUCCAUGAAUAACAAUGACGGAAAGAACUAGUGCCAAAUUAAAUAAAUCGACAUGUGUUGCGUAAAGAAAAUCAAUGCUUGUUUGUCAAGUCGAGCAACUAUUGCAAUCUCAAAACAUAACUGGUUCAGGAAGCACAUCAUUGAGAGGCUCCUGCAUAAUCAAGAUAUAACAUCAAGGUCAUGAUAUAAAAUUCAUGACAGCACGCAAUAAUAGAAACCAAAAUUCAUAAAGUAAAAUUUUCAUCAGAAUAAACAGAUCAGUUGAUGGUAUGGGCUAUAAAAAUAAUUAUCACAGGCUCAUGAAAUUCCUCAUGAAAAGGGUCUUACAAAAGAAAUUUUUUUCCCCUCCUCAUCUGAACACUCAUGGCAAAGAGCAUCUUUGAGCCUUUAUCCAUCUUAUUUCAAAAAGUGGAUAGUUUUGUCUUCCUUUGAAAAAAUAAAUUGUUUGGGACAGUAACUAAUGUCACAAAUCAUUUGCUAAAUAUCCAUACUAAUAAAGAAGAUCAGGCAGUUGCAUCCUUCAGAUAGGCAAUGAGAUCUGCACGCUCCUGUGGCUUCUUCAAUCCAGGGAAGACCAUCUUAGUUCCAGGAAUGUACUGCACAAAAUAACAAACAAGGACAACAUAGAUUAGUCAAGUCACCCACUAUCAACUUUGACCCUUGCAAGGGCACCACUAAACUUCAAUUUGUAUCCUAAAACUCCCUAAACAUUGAUUUAGUGAAAAAUAAAGUUAUUGCAACCCAUUUUUUCCAGUUUCUUGGUUACUAAUUUGACAUAACAGGCAUUGGGGAAAAAAAAAUGAUUUCUCCUCUCCCUGUUUCUCUCUCUCUCUCAUUUUGCCUCUCCCCCUCUCUCACGCACACACAUUUUGCCUUUCUCGCCCUUUUUCCCCCUACCUCUCUCUUUCUCCCUUCCUCUCUCUCCAUCGUCCCGCAAAAUUUGAAACUCACAGCCACUCCUCUCUCUUUCCCCUCUCUCCCUACUCAUCCCUCUAACCAAAACAAUCCGAAUCUACAACCAAAAAGCACAAUGAAACGGCAAAGAAAUUAUAUAAACCAUAACCAAAUCCACCAAAAUCAAAUAUCAACAAAGAAAAUCACAAACCACAUAUAUCAACCAAGAAAAUUAUAAAUUUCAAUCCUAAAUCCCAAGGCAAGAUUUCUUUAUUUCUUGGUGUAAAGCUCCAAUCCCAAAAAUAUCUCACCAAUAAAAUGGAUCAGCAUAAAUUUGCAAUGAAAGAAUCCGAAGCCAAAUCACUCUCCACCACUCCCCACCACACCUCAAAGACCAUGCGCUCAACCCCAACUAGGGCUAGCACUCUGAGCGAGUGUUCCACGAUCUUCUUCCCACAGCCCCCUCACUUCCAUUGCCUCCAUUGACAGCAUCAUGAACACUGAUGACCCCUUCUUUUUCCUUUGCGUUGUUCCAAAUCCUUGUGGUAUCUCGUACUGUUGAACUCAUAGUCGUUUUCAGGAGAACAAAACCACUUCUUAGGAUUGAG